UCUGCUGCCAGGACCCACAGCCCCAUGUGCACCACAUGCGCCAUGAAACUCUGCCAGGCUUUUUAACAGCCAAGCCUAAACCAAGAAGCAAAGGUGCCUUGUAAAUUUCCACUUCAAAAGCUGCGAAGAGGUUUGCAGUCACGCCUGUACUCAGCAGUAGCUGUUGCCUGCAUCACACUUUCAUUUGUGGUCCCAAUAGAGCAGAGCAAUAGACAAUGUGGAAAAUGAAUGAACUUCCACUACAUGCAAUGACGGAGAUCAUCUUAUAACCAUGCCAAUGAGUUGACAACUGCCAGAUGCAAGAAAAUAUACAUAAGAGAUUCAAAGUACAUGCAUCAAAUUUUUUAAGAAGGCAACACUAGUAAACGGCAACUAAGGUAAUAAGGAAAGUUUAAAUUUCUUCUUUUCAUACCUGCUGGAUGAAUUGGCGAUGAGACACCACUCGUCCCAGGUGAUAAAAUG